UGCACCGACCCAGCCCCUGCCCCCGGAGUGUUAGAAACGCUCCGUGCCACCGUCAUAGACACGCUUGCCUGGGCUGCGGGCUGUGCCCUGUCGCACAUGUGCCCACAGUGGACCCGCGUGUGGUUAGGUGGCACCAGACCACUGAAAGUGCCCAUGUGCAGAUCUGAGAACCACCUUGGAGGUCCUUGCACAGCUUCCAGUCACAGCCACUGUAGUGUCCCCUUCUUGAAGUGUCACACCUCAGACGCCUGCCAGCCCGCUGAGCUGCUGGUAGGAAAAGGAGGGAAGAGAGCAGGAGCCCCAGCGAGACAAAGGGCUGUUAACACAGUGUUUAUUCUCUGUGUGGGAACAAUGCUUCAUUAUUUAAAUGCAACACAGAGCUCAAGUUAGUGGUAGCAUUUAGAGGUUCAUUAAUAACAAGUCUAAUAAAAAAAAGUUACAAAUAGAGCUUCAAUUAAGCUGUGUUGAUUAAUUUAAUACUCAUUGCUUCGGUCUGUGACGAUGUCAUUAAACAUAGUCUCUGGCUGUUUCUUGACAGUUGUUUUUGUGCCCCUAAAUUAUAUUCGAGGUUAUUUAGCAUGUUUUUUUUUUUUUUUAACAAAUCAUGCCAUACAAUUAAAGUGACAGGUUGUUCAGAAGUCGCCCCCAAACUCUCCCUUGAAUGCCCGUCGAAGGUGGUUUGUAACAGCCAGGCAUUAAAUGUUAAAUACGAGGAUGGCUUUGUUGUUGCAUAAAUUAAAGCCGCACACAUAGCAAGGUUGGAAAUUGAAAAUGGCACAGCCAUUUGACUUUUCAGAAAGUAGUUAUCCCGCGUCACACAGCCCCUCCUUUGGCCUGUUCUGAACUGCCAAAUGUGAGCAAGCGUUUUCGUCUUCGUAGAAUUUCUUCACUUGUGAUGCCAGGGUUGACCUCCAUAAACUCAGGGACCUACAGGUAAGUGAGGCCGGGAAGUCGGGGAAUUGUGGCUGUGCGGCCCAGCAGGGGUGCUCUGAGGACAUCCGGGUACAAGUGCGUGGGAGACAGAGACUCACUACAGACUCAGUGCACUCAGGGCCUGGGCUCCCAGCAGUGUCACCUUUAAUUUAAAUGGCAUUGGAUUCCCGUCGCCCAGUGCUUUGGAACACAGGGUUUCCAUCAGGGGUUUCUUGUUUGUUUUUUGCUCUUCUGAAUGCAUUGUUUGGUCAGGUCAUCUUUCUUCGUUAUAUUCCAAGUCCAACAGGACUCCCUGGGUGAAAUUGCUUGAACUGCCACUUUGCGAGUUUCUGUGUUAGCCAGGGGGCCGUGCAGACUGACAGCUCGUCAUCUAGCACCUGCAUAAUGCACGCCAUUAUGGCUGCUGCCCAGCGAUUAAAAACAGGGAGCGUGGAGGACUGGCUUGUUGGCUUUCACGCAUCAGCCGGCAUUCCUGUGAUGGAUGCUGUGUGCUCUUCUUGUCAUGGAACAGAAGAUAAGCCGCUGCUCGUUCAGGGAUCUGUUAAUUAUGAAUCACCUUUUUCUGCAACCUGCAAGUGCAGAGCAGAGGCCUGUGGUCGAGCUUUCGGUUUGGGACCAGGAGAUUGCAGAGAGUGGGGCAGUGUGUGUUGUUUCCGGGAGCCGUGAUAAGCAGUGCAGUGUGGCCCUCCGCCUGCUAAGGGUGCUGCACACGCCACAUGUGCUGUAUCUAGCACUGCACCUACCCUGCAGGCUCUUCUGUGGCCUGUCACAGGAGCCAGCGUCGUGAUAGAGUGGACCCAUUUGUAAACGUCACAGGCCUGCUCGUUCUUGAGAACUGAGCUCUUGGGUUUGGGUCAGAGGCUGAGGUUUUUCUGAAAGUUAGGAAGCAGCUUCCCCCCCGCGUUUGCAUUUUGCAGUUACUCCAUUGUGCUUUACUGGGAGCUCUGAUUCUGAGAUGAUGCCCACUGAUUGGGCUUGUGAGGCAAGUUCAAAAGUAAUUCCGUGGAAAACUGAAUGAAAAGAGGUUUGUGGCAGGCGUUUGACAAGGUUGUUCAGACACCUGAUCUCAUACCAGAGUGCCUGGGUUUGAGUCCUGGCUCUGCUUCUGAUUCAGGUUCCAGCUGAACCACACCCUGGGAGGCAGCAGGUGAUGGCUCAAGUGCUGAGUGGAUCUGUAUGGAGCUCCUGCCUCCUGACCCUGGCCUGACCCAGCCCUGGCGGUUGUGGGCAUUUGAGGAGAGAACCAGUGUAUGCACGAUAUGCUCGCUGUCUCUACCUCUCAGAUAAAAUGAAGUAUAAAAAUAGUAAAAGUUUAUAUUGGUGCAAAGUUUGAAAUCCAUAUAUAGGUUAUUCAUAGAAUGCAUUUUCCAUGACCUUUUGGAAGACCCAUGUAUGCAUGGAUUUCAAAAUUUUUUUGUGCCCAAAUAAACUUAUUUUUAAACUUAUCUUCUACCAGCUUUGUGACAUACACGCUCUCGUGUGCUGAUCACUCCUGCAGAGCUUUUCCCAGCUCCAGGCUCGGUGACGUCUGCGGCAGCUGAGACUCUGCAGUGGUUCUAGUAUUGAUGCCAUUGAGGUCUGGAGUCCAAAGGACAGAGCCUUUCUCCCAGGAGAGCAGCACAGCCUGCGAGGCAUGCCCGAGUGAUGCUGUCUGCAGAGCUCAGCAUCUUGUGUGUGUCCUUUGGACACGGCUGUGUUCUGUCUGGUUGUGGCCCACUGAGGAUCGUGGCUUGCCAGGCGCCAUCUGUGUUAGUGAAUCUUGACCCCGAAUCUUCCUUCCCAGCACUGUUACAUGGCAUUAGUAUUUAGAGCACUGAUGUUUUAGCUACCUUCCCUCCCUACUGAGUGGGAUUGCUUGGGACGAGUAUUCCCUCGACUUGAUUCUUUUAUUUUUAAAAUUUAUUUAUUUUCAUGUCCUUUAAAACAUAGUGACAGAGGGGAGAGAGAGAGAGAGAGAGAGAGAGAGAGAGAGAGAAAUCUUCCAUCCACUGGUUUACUCUCGAAAUGCCUACAACAGCCAUGGCUGGGCUAGGCUGAGGCCAGGAGCCUGGAACUCCCUCCAGGUCUCUCACAUGGGUGGAUCCAAGCACUUGGGCCAUCGUCUGCUGCCUCCUAGUGCAUUAGCAGAGAGUAGGAUUGGAAGCAGAGUAGCUGGGACCAGAACUGACACUUGAACAUGAAAUGUGGGCAUCCCACAUGGUGCCUUCACCCCUGAACCACAACACAUACCCCCCAUUUUUAACAUAGGGAAGUGCAGUAAGACUUCAAAAUUGCUUUUUCUUUCUUUCCUUACCGAUUUAUUUAUUUGAAAGACAGAAUUACUGUUGUGGGGGGAGGGGCAGAAUAUCUCCAUCUGAUGAUAAACUCCCCAAAUGGCUACAAUGGCUGGGGCUGGGCCAGGCCAGAGCCAGGAGCCUGGAACUCAGCCUCUGAGGCUCCCACGUAGGGGGCAGGGGUCCACGCACUUGGCCAUCUUCCGCUGCCUUCCCGGGUGCAUUCACAGGGAGCUGGAUCAGAAGUGGAGCAGCUGAAACUGGAACCUGCUCUCCCAUGGGACGCUGGCAUCUCAAGUGGAGGCUGAACCCGCUGCGCUGACACCAGCCCCAGCCUCUUCGUCUUUGUUUCUUUCUGAAAACAAAGAUGUAAUUUCCUUAGCUUUGUUGCUUUUAAAUAGCUUCAUCAAAGCCCAUCUCUGCAUGGACACAUCUUGGCACAGUGAAAUGUUUGCGUGUGGUAGCGCCAGUGCCAGCCUCAGGUUCAGGUAGGGGUGUGUCCCUGAGCUGCUUUUGUUUUAAUUUGUGGUUCAGGUACAAGGAGGAAGGGGCAAAAGGUUAGAGAUGCCAGGAGCCGGGGGAACACUUCUCUGGGUGAGUGCAGCACAGACCAGCCCUUCCCUGCGGAGGGCCUGGUUAUCUGAGGCAUGUCCUGCCCUGUAAAAACAAGCCCAGCUUCCACACCCACUGGCCCUGCCCCACCCCACCACACACACCGUGGCUUUUGGUUAAAUCUGAUGAGAGCCGGGUAGCUGGGCCUUUCAAAAACAGAGGAAUCGCAUGGCUCGGUGCUGGGGGAUUUGCUGUCGCUGGCGCCCACAGACACAUAGAUUUCUAUUUCACACAUUGAACGGGAGGCACAGGAGUGACUGAAUCAUUCACACACGGCCCCAGGAAGGAGUGUUGUGAGUCACACGAAUCAAUUUCUCUAAAUUACGGAGGAUACGGAGCGCCACUGCUGUCCUGAUGCAUGUUUCAGUUCACAAAUUUAAGUCUGUAAGAAAUGAAAUAGCGAACAUUGAGUGUUUUGUGUCCCUAUUAAUUUCUCCUCGCACCUAUGAGGCCCUGGCUCCUUAAAUGAAAUAUCUUGUUGUCUUAGAAACCUGAGUGUGCCUCCAGAGCAGGUCAGUGCAGCCCAUUCCCUGUGCCCAAGAGCACCGCAAUUUUGAGCCUGUGUGUGUGUGUUGGCGUCUCAGGUGCUUGGCUCUUUAAAUGUAAACCGCUUCAACACAGCUGAGAAUCCUGCUGCUAUGUGAUACUGUCACUAACGAGGGACCAAGUCUCACUUUGGAAGGAGGAAGAUCUGUUGUGAGUGUUUUACACGUGUUUGUUUUUGGAGCAGAGCGACAGUGUUUCCUAAGCAGUUAGUCCCAUCUCUAAAUUGAUGUAUGCAACAAUACACCAGAAUCCUAUAUUCUUAGAUACUGCGAAUUUAAAAUCACGUGUUCCCUUUUUUGCCAGCCCUGGAGUAAGUACAAUUUGAUGUUGCUUUGCUGGGAAAUUGGAACCGUUAUCAUCUCCACGGUGUGGAAUUGUGUGGACUCCAGCUGACGUCUCGGACGUGACCUUGCUGAGCCUGCCUCUGGUCUAUUGCAUGCUGGUGUCCCUCCAUGGCAGCUGCGAGUGUGGCUGGGGCAGAGCGAGAGCAAAAGCCUUGCUGUGAUCCUACCAUUAACAUCAGAUCCUCCAAUUAUAGUUUGCAUAAUUGUCUGGGAUCCCACCCCCACCCCCACCCCCAGCAUUUUUUCUGAUGCAGUUCUGUCACAGGAGGCGGUCUUGCUCG